rnacentral:rRNA from 1 species
GCAAUACAUGGCGUACUGCUCAGUAACACGUGGACAACCUACCCUCCGGACGGGUAUAAACCCGGGAAACUGGGUAUAAUCCCCGAUAGAUCUCGGUCGCUGGAAAGCCCCGAGAUCGAAAGCUCCGGCGCCAGAGGAUGGGUCUGCGGCCUAUCAGGUAGUAGUGGGUGUAGCGUACCUACUAGCCUACGACGGGUACGGGUUGUGAGAGCAAGAGCCCGGAGAUGGAUUCUGAGACACGAAUCCAGGCCCUACGGGGUGCAGCAGGCGCGAAAACUUUACAAUGCGGGGAACCGCGAUAAGGGGACACCGAGUGCCAGCAUCCUAUGUUGGCUGUCCAUAUGUCUAAAUCACAUGUGUUAGCAAGGGCCGGGCAAGACCGGUGCCAGCCGCCGCGGUAACACCGGCGGCCCGAGUGGUGGCCACUAUUAUUGGGUCUAAAGCGUCCGUAGCCGGUUUAGCAAGUUCCUGGUGAAAUCUGGCAGCAAACUGUCAGGCAUGCUGGGAAUACUACUAGACUUGAGAUUGGGAGAGGUCAGAGGUAGUCCAUGUGUAGGGGUUAAAUCCUUUAAUCCAUGGAGGACCACCGGUGGCGAAGGCGUCUGACUGGAACAAGUCUGACGGUGAGGGACGAAAGCGUGGGGAGCAAAGCGGAUUAGAUACCCGUGUAGUCCACGCUGUAAACGAUGUCCGCUUGAUGUGUCAAAUCUUACGUGGAUUUGUCGUAUCGGAGCGUAGGUGUUAAGCGGACCACCUGGGGACUACGGCCGCAAG